ensembl:lncRNA
GCUCCGCAGGCGCUCACGGCCCCGCCGCCCUCCGGGGGCCGCAGCGCGAUCUCCAUGGCCCGGGGGCGGGGGGCAUGCUGGGCCCUGCCGGGCUCGCCGCUCCCGUCCGCUGCUCUCCGCCGGUCUGGUCGGGCGGGCAGGGCUGCUGGCUCCCGGGUCCUGACGUCAGGCUGCCACCGCCUCGCCUCAGACUCUGGGCUCUGGCAGCCGUUACCAAGCAGCCAAAAGCCUCCUUCCCGCAGACGCCACCCGCGGCCUCCGCCCACCGCGCCGUCUCCGCCCCGCGCCCCCUCCGGCCGGGCUGUAGUCCCGCAGGAGGGCAGGAGGGCAGGAGGGAGCCGCGCGCCGAGCCAGGAACAGCUGGGGCUCAGCCACCACCCUUUGGAUUUUCCAAUGGUGCUUCAGCACGUCUGUGGCUGCCAACAAGGAAAUGCCCACUGGACACCUGAUGGCUGGAUUCAAAGCUGCCUGGCUGCUCUUCCCUCCUUCAGGUUACUCUACUAGACUGGGUGAUAUUGAAAGCCAGUGACCAAAUGGUGUGAGCUUGCUAUUGUAGAGCCCAGGAAUAAGACAGGGUUGCAGUAAGUGUGUGUGUGUGUGAGUGUGUGCGUGUGUGUGCAUGUGUGUGGACUUGAGCUGAGAUGAGGAAGGGGUGGCUGCUAACACCAAGGUGAUGUGCUGACCAUGACACUGGAAGCAGGAAGCCACGGCUGGAUUCUCACUCUGCAUGUCUAUUACUUACCUUAUUUGGGUAAGUAGUUUAGCCUAUCCCAAUCUAUUAACUUUUUAAUAUAUGAAAUGGGGACUACAACAAUGAAUUCAUAUGUCACAGUGGAUUCAUGUAAAAUCCAAACUGCAUUUGAACUGGGGCUAUUAUUGUAAAAUUGAAGAAUACAUUUUGGUCUUCAACCUCAUUUCUUGGCAUAUAACUGUGAAAAUCCUUGGGAUCUUCAAAGUGAGGAAUCUUGCUGUAUGCUAAUGAGUUGGCUCAAGGCCCGCAGCCCCUAGGUGGUUUCCAGAGAGGGACUGCGCAAUGGAAAAACAGAAGCAGGAGUAGAGGGGUUGAGGCCUUCCCAUUCAGCUUCCAACUCUGGGAGAAGUGAAGAAGUGAGGAGUGAGAGGUUAAGUUGAUCACUAGUGACCAAUAACUUAAUCGAUCAUGUCUGUGUAAUGAAGCCUCCAUAAAACCCCAAAAGAAUGGGGUCUGGAGACCUCCUAGAUAACCAGACACAUGGGGGUGCAUGGAGGGGGUGCCCAGGGAGGCCUGCAGGCUCCACACCCCUUGCUGCAGCCCUUGCGGUGAGUCUGUCUCUGUAAUAUCCUUUAUAAUAAGGGGCUGAGUAAAUAUUUCCCUGAGCUACUCUGGCAAAUUAAUGGAGCCCAUGGAGAGGUUGUGGGACCCCAGAUCUGCAGCCUGUGGGCCAGAAGCCCAGGGAAACAACCCAGGAUGUGACUGGCAUCCGAAGUGGGGCUGGAGGGGCAGGCUUGGGGACUGAGCCCUAAGCCUGGGGCAUCAGAAUUGAGCCCCACUGCUGAAGACCUGCAGGUGGGGGUGAGGAAAACCCUACCACACUUAGAAUCAGACGCAGUAAGAUGGAGCGUAAGACUGGGUUUGAUUUUUUUCCCUGUAUCUUCAGAAUUGUUUCCACAGUAGUUAACAUUUCUUGAAUUCCUAUUAUGUGCUCAAUCUUGAACUAUGCCUUUUACGUACACAUCCUCCAAAACGACCCUGAGAGGUAGAUGUGAUUAUUAGUCCUAGUUUAUAGCUAUGGAAACCAAAAGUUGAUCCGAUUAAGGAGGGUGUUGAGGCUUCUCGACUAGUAACCGGCAGAGCCCUGCUAAGUGCUGGUCACUGUGCACCGUUAUUAAGGCAUCUUCUCUCCUAGCUCUGUUCCUCUUCCUAACCUUCUCCUCCCGUGCCCUUGGUCUCCAGUGAUGAGUGCCUGGUAGCCCGGAAGAGUUCCCAGGCCUUUUCCUGUUAUCCCCGAGAAGUCUCCAACGGGUGCGAGGUCCAGCAUCUCAUCUCGACCCAGAGGCAGAGAUUGACACGUGGGAGGCUGGGGCAGCCUGGUAACUUCUCAGCCUACACAGCGCCACCUGCUGGCUCCCUUCUCCUGCGCAGCCAGGAAGCAGGAGGCAGAGUGGAAGGGGAAGUCCUCAGGCACACGCUGUCUCUGGAUGUGAAGUCAGCUCUGCAGAACGUCCUGGCCGUUCGACCUUGAGGAAGCUGCGGUUCAGCUCCAGACUGUGUAACCACCUUGUGAGAAGACCUGUUCACCCUGACCCAGUCUGAGGAGGCACAGCCUGGAGAGGGGGAGAAAAGGCCAAAGCCCCCACCCCACUCUAAUUCUGUGUUGAUUCUGGUCAAGGCCCUUCAUUAAUGAAAGGCAUUAGUUUUGUUUCUCAAAGAAAAACAAUUUUAGAUACUAAGGUCGUGUGCAACCUUGGCUGAGGGUUGCUGUCGUUCUACUACUGACAGAGCAUUGCUGCAGAUGGAUUAUCACUGCUGUCAAACCUCCCAACAGGCUCUUUCUUUGGACAGCUUUCAUCAGACCUCUGAACCUUCUCCUACACCCAUUUGUGCAAGACCUUGUCAAGUCGGACUUUUUUCGGUGCAGGGGAUCAAACUCAGGACCUUCCACUUGUAAGGCAGGCACGGUGCCACUGAGCUAAAUCCCGGCCCUUCAAGUCUGAUUUUAGCAAAGAGCUCACGCCCUCAGCAUCCCUCACCCUGGUGUCUGGGGAGGCCCCUCAUCCUGUGCCAGAAGACAUCAGGUUUCCCUGUCCUGAAUGCACCCAUGAUUCUUCAGGUCAGCACAGCCCGGGUCCUGGCCCUUGCGCUUCUCCGUCAUUUUCCACCCACUGACCUCACCCUGCCUGGGCGAAGACUCCCGCUUGGCCACGCUGCAGGUGACGUGAACCCUAAUCUCAGUGCUCCCUGCAAGAUCAUACUGAGUGGUCCCGACACCCCAAUACCUGGAUGGUCCUGGACAAAGUCCUUCUUGCCACAGUUUCACAAGUGUCACUGAAUGUUUUUUUCUGUAACAUCCCCAAGAUUUUUACUCUAAGAAGCCUUUCCUGUAACCCUAAAUGCAUCCCUGGUCUGCAUAAAGUUAGUUUUCGGGUGGGGGUGACUUUUUCAAUGUCCAGCUUCUCGGUGGCCCUGAAGAAGAGGCCUCAGACCUACGCUGGACGAAUGCUGAGGUGCAGAUGUCUGGAGAGUGCAUUUCGCCCCAAGGACUACAGUUACCACAGCAAGAAGCCUGGGCCCCGUGGAGGUGGCCAGAAGCCCUGAGCACCCUGACUCUGGGAUUACGUCUUUGCUCAGAGUCCUGUUUCGCUCCCACACCCAGAUGAGACUGGCUGUCUCAACUUUCCAUGGCACAGCGACGUAGCUGAAGAUGUGACUAAAAGCAUUUGCGUUCUGUGGGCCUCUUGAAGGCAAUCAGGGUGGAUUUGGUUUGUCCGGGUCUCCAACACCAACUUCAGUGCCCAGAAAGCAAUGCAUCUUUGGUGUUUGUGGAGUGAAUGAAAGGUUAGCACAAGGGUUAGCUAUGCCGUUUUGUCAACAGCAAAGACCUUCAAGCAGUACUUCAAACCAAUGCUUUCAUAAUUCUCACAAACUAGCUCACAGAUCUAGAGUGUGUCACAUUAUAAUAUUAAAUAUAACAUUAAAAUAUUGCAUUUUAUGAUUAAACAAAAUAGGCAUUGUAAAUACCAGGAAAAAUGCAAAGAAAAUUAAAAAAUCUGUAAUCACACCAUCCAGACAGCCAUUGUUACCUUUUUGUGAUUACGUUUUUAUUUAUAAUUAUUUUAAAAUUGGAAU